rnacentral:lncRNA from 1 species
UGCCUGGGCCCCACACGCACGAUCUCCUCCUCUUUUUCCUUCAUCAUUAAUCAUUUGUCCAUUUACUUUUCUGCCCCUCCUUUGAUAUGUGUGAAUGAUUGGAGGUCUUACAAUACCCCGGGGUUCUAAGUUCACCUUGUCCUCAAGGUGAAAAUGAGGAAACUGCUGGUUCAAUAGGUAGACUGAUUCCCACGUUGCUUCACUGUCUAGUAAGUUCUUCCAUUUGACCAACCAUUCAUUGCCUCCUAACUCCUUGUUCCACCUUGUCCUCAAGGUGAAAAUGAGGAAACUGCUGGUUCAAUAGGUAGAUUGAUUCCCACGUUGCUUCACUGCCUAGUAAGUUCUUCCAUUUGACCAACCACUCAUUGCCUCCUAACUCCUUGUUCCACCUUAUUCCCAACACGUUUUCCGACCACAAUUGUAGUUCAAAAUCCUCAGUUA